UCCUAAAGGAGAGAAUUCUUCUUAGCAAG
rnacentral:piRNA from 1 species